rnacentral:tRNA from 2 species
GCCCAGCUAGCUCAGUCGGUAGAGCACGUCCUUGGUAAGGACGAGGUCACCGGUUCGAUCCCGGUGCUGGGCU